AACGAACGCUGGCGGCGUGCCUAACACAUGCAGGUCGAGCGAGAAAGUCCCUUCGGGGGCGAGUAAAGCGGCGGACGGGUGAGUAAUACAUGGAUAAUCUUCCCUCGAGCCUGGGAUAACCCUGCGAAAGUGGGGCUAAUACCGGAUAAGACCACAUGACACAUGUCACGGGGUAGAAAGUGGCUUGUAUUUAUAUGAGCUAUCACUUGAGGAUGAGUCCAUGGCCUAUCAGCUAGUUGGUGAGGUAAGAGCUUACCAAGGCUAUGACGGGUAGCUGGUCUGAGAGGACGACUAGCCACACUGGGACUGAGACACGGCCCAGACUCCUACGGGAGGCAGCAGUGGGGAAUAUUGGGCAAUGGGCGAAAGCCUGACCCAGCGACGCCGCGUGGGUGAUGAAGGCCUUCGGGUUGUAAAACCCUUUCGUGUCGGAAAGAAUAGUCCUGUAGCGAAUAACUACGGAUUGACGGUACCGCAGGAAGAAGCACCGGCUAACUCCGUG
rnacentral:rRNA from 1 species